rnacentral:rRNA from 1 species
CUUUAUGGAGCCCGCCGCUGAAGGUGGGGGAGAUGAUUGGGGUGAAUUCAGAGCUGGGUAACCGAUUGGAAUUCCUGGUGUAGCGGUGAAAUGCGCAGAUAUCAGGAGGAACACCGAUGGCGAAGGCAGGUCUCUGGGCAUUAACUGACGCUGAGGAGCGAAAGCAUGGGGAGCGAACAGGAUUAGAUACCCUGGUAGUCCAUGCCGUAAACGUUGGGCACUAGGUGUGGGGGACAUUCCACGUUUUCCGCGCCGUAGCUAACGCAUUAAGUGCCCCGCCUGGGGAGUACGGCCGCAAGGCUAAAACUCAAAGGAAUUGACGGGGGCCCGCACAAGCGGCGGAGCAUGCGGAUUAAUUCGAUGCAACGCGAAGAACCUUACCAAGGCUUGACAUGAACCGGACCGCCGCAGAAAUGUGGUUUCCCCUUUGGGGCUGGUUUACAGGUGGUGCAUGGUUGUCGUCAGCUCGUGUCGUGAGAUGUUGGGUUAAGUCCCGCAACGAGCGCAACCCUCGUUCUAUGUUGCCAGCACGUGAUGGUGGGGACUCAUAGGAGACUGCCGGGGUCAACUCGGAGGAAGGUGGGGACGACGUCAAAUCAUCAUGCCCCUUAUGUCUUGGGCUUCACGCAUGCUACAAUGGCCGGUACAAAGGGUUGCGAUACUGUGAGGUGGAGCUAAUCCCAAAAAGCCGGUCUCAGUUCGGAUUGGGGUCUGCAACUCGACCCCAUGAAGUCGGAGUCGCUAGUAAUCGCAGAUCAGCAACGCUGCGGUGAAUACGUUCCCGGGCCUUGUACACACCGCCCGUCAAGUCACGAAAGUUGGUAACACCCGAAGCCGGUGGCCUAACCCCUUGUGGGAGGGAGCUGUCGAAGUGGGACUG